rnacentral:rRNA from 1 species
AUACGGAGGGUGCGAGCGUUAAUCGGAAUUACUGGGCGUAAAGCGCGCGUAGGCGGUCUGGUCAGUCAGAUGUGAAAGCCCUGGGCUUAACCUGGGAACUGCAUUUGAUACUGCCAGACUAGAGUAUGGUAGAGGGAAGUGGAAUUCCGGGUGUAGCGGUGAAAUGCGUAGAUAUCCGGAGGAACACCAGUGGCGAAGGCGGCUUCCUGGACCAAUACUGACGCUGAGGUGCGAAAGCGUGGGGAGCAAACAGGAUUAGAUACCCUAGUAGUCC